UUGCUUUCUCUAUCUUUGUUGCCAUCCUUUGCUUUUUAUUCUCUUUUUGCCUCCGUGUUUCAUUAUUUUCCCUUCAACCUUUGUUCCAGGAAUGUCUUUAUGGCCAAGCCAGGUGUUGUCACGGGUACAGGAAAUGCUGCCGGCCAUCCUGUAAGCUGGCAGAUGAUCACCAGCACGUGUUUAAGUUGCCCAGCCAUCUCACUGACAUCUACCUGAUGGUAACAAGAAGGUUCGCAGCCUCGAACAGGCUCCCACCUGAGAACAGACUCCCACCCACGAACAGUCUUGCAGCCUCAAACUGGCUUCAAUCCGCUAAUAGGCUCACAUCCUCCAACAUGCUCCAGCCCGCGACCGGGAUCACAGCCUCGAACAGGCUCGCAGCCUCAGAUAGGCACCCACCUGCUUACAAUCGCUCAGCUUUGAACAGGCUCGCAGCCUUGAACAGGCUCCCACCCGUGAACAGUCUCGCAGCCUUUAACUGUCUUGCACACACGAACAGGCUUGCAGCCU